UCUUGGAUCCACGGGGACGAACACUUGCCCCGCCUUUGGCUCGGCUUUUCAUCCGAGGCAGCGGGGUCUCCCCAGGCCAUCUGGUCCAGUGCCAACAGGCAAACAGGCACCCGCUGUAAACUUGCCACAUUUAGCAGCCGUGUCGCUUUGCGAGAAAGCCUUCCCUCUUAACGGAAUGUCCCCAGGGAGGGCAGGCCAAAUUAUAAAGAGAUCAAGACAAGACAUCUCUCCUCCGCGACUCAAGAUUGUUCUACGGAAGAAACCAGAAAAGACAAUACCUCUCACUCGUGCAAGGGGAAGAGGGCAGUCAUUUACCUAAGUAUGCCCAGGGACUGUCCACUUCCGGUCCUGGCCACAAAGCUCAAAACGUUUGCUCGCCACAGCCCCUGGCGAUGAUGAUCACUUCUGGCAUUUCCAG